UAGGGGAAUUGUUCGCAAUGGGCGCAAGCCUGACGACGCAACGCCGCGUGGAGGAUGAAGAUCUUCGGGUCGUAAACUCCUUUCGAUCGAGACGAAUGGCCUUCGGGUGAACAGCCUGGAGGAAUGACGGUACCGAGAGAAGAAGCCCCGGCUAACUACGUGCCAGCAGCCGCGGUAAUACGUAGGGGGCAAGCGUUGUCCGGAAUCAUUGGGCGUAAAGCGCGUGUAGGUGGCUUGGUAAGUCCGGUGUGAAACCUUGGGGCUCAACCCCAAGCCUGCAUCGGAUACUGCCUCGCUCGAGUUCGGGAGGGGAGAGCGGAAUUCCUAGUGUAGCGGUGAAAUGCGCAGAUAUUAGGAAGAACACCGGUGGCGAAGGCGGCUCUCUGGAACGAUACUGACACUGAGACGCGAAAGCGUGGGUAGCGAACAGGAUUAGAUACCCUUGUAGUCCCUGAGCGGGCUGGCAAGGCGCAU
rnacentral:rRNA from 1 species